rnacentral:rRNA from 1 species
AUACGGAGGGUGCGAGCGUUAAUCGGAAUUACUGGGCGUAAAGGGUGCGUAGGCGGCUUGAUAAGUCGGAUGUGAAAGCCCCGGGCUUAACCUGGGAAUUGCAUUCGAUACUGUCAGGCUAGAGUAUGUCAGAGGUUGGCGGAAUUCCUGGUGUAGCGGUGAAAUGCGUAGAUAUCAGGAGGAACACCAGUGGCGAAGGCGGCUAACUGGGACAAUACUGACGCUGAGGCACGAAAGCGUGGGGAGCAAACAGGAUUAGAAACCCUUGUAGUCC